UGAUAACCAAACAGAAAAGAACGAUAUUAAUUGAUCAAAGUUUGAAUUCAUUGAGUUCGAUUUCUUUUACAUGAGAUUCAAUCUGAAUUAAAAAUCUUAUUGUGCUUUCAUCAUUGGUUUUUUUUUUUACACCUGGUUAUCGAUAACGUUAUCCAAUAAUCCAUCAACGAUAAAAAAAAUGGUUGAACCGAACAAAGUGGACCCUAAAAAGGAUUAUUUGAAAUCAAAUCCUGAGAAUAAUGAAACUGUCUACAAGUACGAACUUGAACAAAUAAAAAUGAUGACCAAAUUGGUUCAUUCGGGCAUCACAACUGAUCAGCUUUUCAAUUUAUACAUAACAUUAAAAGAAGACAUGAAACCUUUAAACUUAUCAAAGGAUAAUAAUGGUGGAACUGACGAAUGGGUUGGUCUUCCAAAAAUUCCCGAAAACAAAGACAAAGAUGCUAAGGAUAAAAAUAAAGAUAAAAAAGUUAGAAUUAUCCAGCUGAUAAGCAAUCCUCCAAAAUAGUCCAUAUGACAACUGAUAUUA